UCCCCGGUAGCUCAAUGGUAGAGCGGGCGGCUGUUAACCGCUAGGUUGGACGUUCGAAUCGUCCCCGGGGAGCCA
rnacentral:tRNA from 1 species